UACAGAGGGUGCAAGCGUUGUUCGGAAUUAUUGGGCGUAAAGGGCGCGUAGGCGGUGCGGUAAGUCUGCAGUGAAAUCUCUGGGCUCAACUCAGAGUCUGCUGUAGAAACUGCCGUGCUUGAGUGCAGAAGAGGAAAGCGGAAUUCCACGUGUAGCGGUGAAAUGCGUAGAGAUGUGGAGGAACACCAGUGGCGAAGGCGGCUUUCUGGUCUGUAACUGACGCUGAGGCGCGAAAGCGUGGGAGCAAACAGG
rnacentral:rRNA from 1 species